rnacentral:rRNA from 1 species
UUUGAUCCUGGCUCAGAACGAACGCUGGCGGCGUGCCUAACACAUGCAAGUCGAACGUGAAAGUCCUUCGGGAUGAGUAAAGUGGCGCACGGGUGAGUAAUGCGUAGAUAAUCUGCCUGAUGAUCUGGGAUAACAUCUCGAAAGGGGUGCUAAUACCGGAUAAGCCCACGGGCUCUUCGGAGCUUGCGGGAAAAGGGGGGGACCUUCGGGCCUUCUGUCAUCAGAUGAGUCUACGUACCAUUAGCUAGUUGGUAGGGUAAAGGCCUACCAAGGCGACGAUGGUUAGCUGGUCUGAGAGGAUGAUCAGCCACACUGGAACUGAGACACGGUCCAGACUCCUACGGGAGGCAGCAGUGGGGAAUUUUGCGCAAUGGGGGAAACCCUGACGCAGCAACGCCGCGUGAGUGAUGAAGGCCUUCGGGUCGUAAAGCUCUGUCAGAGGGAAAGAAAUGUGGGGCGCUAAUACCGUUACCACUUGACGGUACCCUCAAAGGAAGCACCGGCUAACUCCGUGCCAGCAGCCGCGGUAAUACGGAGGGUGCGAGCGUUGUUCGGAAUUAUUGGGCGUAAAGCGCGUGUAGGCGGUUUUAUAAGUCUGAUGUGAAAGCCCCGGGCUCAACCUGGGAAGUGCAUUGGAUACUGUAAGACUUGAGUACGGGAGAGGGCAGUGGAAUUCCUAGUGUAGGAGUGAAAUCCGUAGAUAUUAGGAGGAACACCGGUGGCGAAGGCGGCUGCCUGGACCGAUACUGACGCUGAGACGCGAAAGCGUGGGUAGCAAACAGGAUUAGAUACCCUGGUAGUCCACGCCGUAAACGAUGAGUACUAGGUGUUGCGGGUAUUGACCCCUGCAGUGCCGCAGCUAACGCAUUAAGUACUCCGCCUGGGAAGUACGGUCGCAAGACUAAAACUCAAAUGAAUUGACGG